rnacentral:rRNA from 1 species
AUACGUAGGGGGCGAGCGUUGUCCGGAAUUACUGGGCGUAAAGGGCGUGUAGGCGGCCUGUUAAGUCAGGGGUGAAACUCCGGGGCUCAACCCCGGGCGUGCCUCUGAAACUGAUGGGCUUGAGUGCUCUAGAGGGCAGUGGAAUUCCCGGUGUAGCAGUGAAAUGCGUAGAGAUCGGGAGGAACACCAGUGGCGAAGGCGGCUGCCUGGGGAGUAACUGACGCUGAGGCGCGAAAGCUAGGGGAGCAAACAGGAUUAGAUACCCUGGUAGUCCUAGCCGUAAACGAUGAGUGCUAUGUGUGAGGGGUAUCGACCCCCCUCGUGCAGUAGUUAACGCAAUAAGCACUCCGCCUGGGGAGUACGGCCGCAAGGCUGAA